rnacentral:lncRNA from 1 species
UUCUUCAGCAGCUUUCUUGGUUUGAGCCAUAUUGCCCUCUUUGGCUCGAAAAUAUCUUUUUAUGUGCCCGAGUUAGCCACAACUGUAACAUUUUAAAAGCCUUUUACCAUUACUAGAAGACUCUCCCUUCUUUCCUAGCGAGCUUGAACCGUUUGAUGAUUGAAAGUACAUGUUAUCUCUUGAUUUCUCUUUAAAGCUUCUCUUAUCGAUGAUAGGAGCAUUUCCUUCCCCUUCUUUGAUAGAUAUACCAGCC